CAGCAUACGCGGUUAUACAAUAAAUAUUAAUUAAUAUUUUUGGUUAUUAAAGUUUUGUUUUUUUUUGAAUUUAAUAUUUUUAUUAUAAGGUAAAAUUUUAAUAUUUAUUAAGUUUUUUUGUGAUUCUUUGAAAUAUGAAUUGUAAACUAGGAUUAGAUACCCUAUUAUUUUAUAUGUUAAUUUUAUCCAGGGUAGUAUUAGUUAUGUUCUUUAAACCUAAAGGAUUUGGCGGUGUUUUAGUCUUUUCAGAGGAAUCUGCCCCGUUAUCGAUAAUCCCCGAUUAAUUCUUUCUUAAAUUUGCAUUUCAGUAUGUAUACCGCCGUUAUAAGUUUAUUUUAUAAGAUUUAAUUUACUUAAUUUUUUAUUAAAGUUUAUUUC
rnacentral:rRNA from 1 species